GGUGGCUCAGUGGUGGAGCACUUGCCUUGCAUGCAUGAAGCCCUGGGUUCGAUUCCUCAGCACCA
rnacentral:tRNA from 1 species